rnacentral:lncRNA from 1 species
CUACAUAGUCCAACUGUGCCGGGACGUAGAAUGGGUACAACCGGUCUUUCUCUUAACAUAUCAUAUCAUACAGUCCAACUGUGCCAGGGACGUAGAAUGGGUACAACCUUGACUUCCAUACCAUAUCAUGCCAUAACAUCAUCAUAUCAUAUGAGGACUAAAGGAUCAUCCAAUGACCAAUCCACAUCAACAUCAUAAAUGCAAUGCAACAUAUUCGUGAAUACUAAUGCAA